rnacentral:rRNA from 1 species
GUYUUUUUGUUAAAAAUUUAAAGUCGGGCCUGCCCACUGAAAUUUAAAUGGCCGUGGUAUUUUGACCGUGCUAAGGUAGCAUAAUCAUUAGUUUUUUAAUUGAAAGCUGGAAUGAAGGGUUUGAUAAAAAAAUGACUGUCUCUAUUUAAUUUUAUUAAAAUUUUAUUUUUAAGUUCAAAAGCUUAAGUAAGAUUAAAAGACGAGAAGACCCUAUAGAGUUUUAUAAUUUAAGAUAAUUUAUAUUUUAGAAUUAAUUUAUUUAUUUUUUAAUAUUAUUUAAUUGGGGUGAUUGAAAAAUUUAAUUAACUUUUUUUAUAUUUAACCAUUAAUUUAUGACUAUUUGAUCCAAUUUUUUUGAUUAUAAGAUAAAAUUACCUUAGGGAUAACAGCGUAAUUUUUUUAGAAAGUUCAAAUUAAAAGAAAAGAUUGCGACCUCGAUGUUGGAUUAAAAUUAAGUUUUGGUGUAGAAGCUAAAAAUUUUAAGUCUGUUCGACUUUUAAAAUUUUACA